rnacentral:rRNA from 1 species
CACGUAGGGGGCAAGCGUUGUCCGGAAUUAUUGGGCGUAAAGAGCGUGUAGGCGGCCCGAUUAGUCCGCUGUGAAAGUCCAGGGCUCAACCCUGGAAUGCCGGUGGAUACUGUCGGGCUAGAGUCCGGAAGGGGCGAGUGGAAUUCCUGGUGUAGCGGUGAAAUGCGCAGAUAUCAGGAGGGACACCAAUAGCGAAGGCAGCUCGCUGGGACGGUACUGACGCUAAGGCGCGAAAGCGUGGGUAGCAAACAGG